AUUACCUUUGUCAUAAAUAACAUUUUAGCACCAAAGUAUUUCGCGGUAUUUCCUCUUUUUCGCCAUAUUGUAUGUUUAUUAUUAUAUGACGUCAUUCAUUGAUUCGAUGAAGAUUUGCUUAGUCAUGUGACGUCAUUCAUUGAAACAUGCGUAUGACGUAACCUUACUACGAUUUUAAAUAGGGCCAAAUUGUCGUUUGGCUUCAGUUCCGUUUUGGCACUCAUAGUGGAAAGAAAUGGAUAACGAAAGUUUGACAAAGAAAAAUACAAGACAUGGCAAAAUAAAGACGUGCCACUGGUGGGGGACCAGCACCAUCCAAACUAAAUUCUUGGGAAGAAAAGGUAAAAUCAAAAACACUGACAGUUAUCCCAAGCUGUUCGAUGUCUGGUGUGAAUGACCACGGAGACGUAUUUCUUAUGAACUCGAUUGGUAUGAAGUUAUUACUUUUCUGCCAUAAGCCAUUUAUUUACAAUUCACAUAACAGUAUCUUAUUCAAUAUUUACGAGAUCAUGGUAUGUACAAGUUAAAACAAUAAGUAACUGAAAUUGCAGUACUUGGACAUAAUAGAUAUAUAGCACAGUUUAUACUCAUGGUUUACAUUUAUGUAUGGUAUUAGUUUGCAAGUACAUAUGUUUUGAACAAACUAACAUGAUAACAUAGCAUGCGUUCACUUGAAAAAAUACCUUUUAUUUGCAUUUUUUUCUUUUUUAUGCGAGAUUAACAUACAUUUACUUUUCCAGCUUUGCCAUUUGAAGAGUCAAA